rnacentral:hammerhead_ribozyme from 1 species
GUCCAUCUGAAGAGUCCCAAGUGGGACGAAACGUGCUUCCUGAAU